UUUCCGUAGGUGAACCUGCGGAAGGAUCAUUCAUAAUAAGUGUUUUAUGGCACUUUUUUAAAUCCAUAUCCACCUUGUGUGCAAUGUCAGGGUUGGUCUCUUUGGAUCAGCCCCAAACAUCAACUAUAUCUCAACUCUUUGUCUGAAAAAUAUUAUGAAUAAAACAAUUCAAAAUACAACUUUCAACAACGGAUCUCUUGGCUCUC
rnacentral:misc_RNA from 1 species